UGGUAGAUCUGAUGGUGGUGAUGGAGGUGACGAUAACACUGAUGUUCAUUAUCGUAAGAUGAUUGAAGCUAAUCCUGGAAAUGGGAUUUUUCUCAGUAAUUAUGCUAAAUUCCUGAAGGAGGUACAGAUUUGUGUACUUUCUAGAUCUGAAUUGAAUUGAAAUUUUGAUUUGGCGAUUAUCAUAUUGAGAUGUGUCGUAUGAUUGAUUGAAACAGGUUAGAAAAGAUUACUUGAAAGCAGAGGAAUAUUGUGGGAGAGCUAUUCUGGUGAGUCCUAAUGAUGGGAAUGUUCUGGCUAUGUACGCUGAGUUGGUUUGGAAGAUCCAUAAGGAUUCAUCUCGUGCUGAGAAUUACUUCAAUCAAGCUGUUGCAGCUGCUCCUGAGGACUGGUAAGAAAAAGAUUCUAACUUUAUUAAUCAAGCUCUCUUCUUUAGGACUUUGAUAGUAGUUGUGUGACUCUUGUGCUUGAAUUCUGACUAACGUACUUGUUGUUUUCUGCAGUUAUGUACAAGCUUCGUAUGCACGGUUUCUAUGGG
rnacentral:lncRNA from 1 species